rnacentral:piRNA from 1 species
UCCUUGAAAACGAAGGUUCUGUGCUUGG